UUCGGGUAUCAUUUUUUUUAAAUUAGGCUCUGCUUGAAUAUUAUAAAUUUGUGUGUGGGUUUUGAGUUGGGUCCUUUUGAGUCUGGAUGAGUUUGGUUCUGAUGUAUAUGAACCUAAAAAUAUCUAAAUAACAAAUAUAUCUGAAACGGGUUCGGAUAUUUGUACCAAAAUAACUAUAUUACCUGAUUCGGUCUAGGUCUUUUGAAUACAAAUA
rnacentral:lncRNA from 1 species